GCAGUGGUGGUUCAGUGCUAGAAUUCUCGCCUUCCACGCAGGAGACCUGGGUUCGAUUCCUGGCCGAUGCA
rnacentral:tRNA from 1 species